rnacentral:misc_RNA from 1 species
GAUGAAGAACGCAGCGAAAUGCGAUAAGUAAUGUGAAUUGCAGAAUUCAGUGAAUCAUCGAAUCUUUGAACGCACAUUGCGCCCCCUGGUAUUCCGGGGGGCAUGCCUGUUCAAGCGUCAUUUCACCACUCAAGCCUCGCUUGGUAUUGGGCAACGCGGUCCGCCGCGUGCCUCAAAUCGACCGGCUGGGUCUUCUGUCCCCUAAGCGUUGUGGAAACUAUUCGCUAAAGGGUGUUCGGGAGGCUACGCCGUAAAACAACCCCAUUUCUAAGGUUGACCUCGGAUCAGGUAGGGAUACCCGCUGAACUUAAGCAUAUCAAUAAGCGGAGGA